GGAUAACAGUUAGAAAUGACUGCUAAUACCGCAUAAGCGCACAGGAUUGCAUGAUUCCGUGUGAAAAACUCCGGUGGUAUGAGAUGGACCCGCGUCUGAUUAGCUGGUUGGUGGGGUAACGGCCUACCAAGGCGACGAUCAGUAGCCGACCUGAGAGGGUGACCGGCCACAUUGGGACUGAGACACGGCCCAAACUCCUACGGGAGGCAGCAGUGGGGAAUAUUGCACAAUGGGGGAAACCCUGAUGCAGCAACGCCGCGUGAGUGAAGAAGUAUUUCGGUAUGUAAAGCUCUAUCAGCAGGGAAGAAAAUGACGGUACCUGAGUAAGAAGCCCCGGCUAGCUACGUGCCAGCAGCCGCGGUAAUACGUAGGGGGCAAGCGUUAUCCGGAUUUACUGGGUGUAAAGGGAGCGUAGACGGCGAUGCAAGUCUGAAGUGAAAGCCCGGGGCUCAACCCCGGGACUGCUUUGGAAACUGUAUGGCUGGAGUGCUGGAGAGGCAAGCGGAAUUCCUAGUGUAGCGGUGAAAUGCGUAGAUAUUAGGAAGAACACCAGUGGCGAAGGCGGCUUGCUGGACAGUAACUGACGUUGAGGCUCGAAAGCGUGGGGAGCAAACAGGAUUAGAUACCCUGGUAGUCCACGCUGUAAACG
rnacentral:rRNA from 1 species